UACGAGAGGCCCAAACGUUAUUCGGAUUUACUGGGCUUAAAGAGUUCGUAGGCGGUCUAGCAAGUGAGGUGUGAAAGCCCUCGGCUCAACCGAGGAAUUGCGCUUCAAACUGCUAGGCUCGAGGGAGAUAGAGGUGAGCGGAACUGAUGGUGGAGCGGUGAAAUGCGUUGAUAUCAUCAGGAACACCAGAGGCGAAGGCGGCUCACUGGGUCUUUUCUGACGCUGAGGAACGAAAGCUAGGGGAGCGAA
rnacentral:rRNA from 1 species